AGUGAACGCUGGCGGUAGGCCUAACACAUGCAAGUCGAACGGCAGCACAGUAGGAGCUUGCUCUUACGGGUGGCGAGUGGCGGACGGGUGAGGAAUACAUCGGAAUCUACUUUUUCGUGGGGGAUAACGUAGGGAAACUUACGCUAAUACCGCAUACGACCUACGGGUGAAAGCAGGGGAUCUUCGGACCUUGCGCGAUUGAAUGAGCCGAUGUCGGAUUAGCUAGUUGGCGGGGUAAAGGCCCACCAAGGCGACGAUCCGUAGCUGGUCUGAGAGGAUGAUCAGCCACACUGGAACUGAGACACGGUCCAGACUCCUACGGGAGGCAGCAGUGGGGAAUAUUGGACAAUGGGCGCAAGCAUGAUCCAGCCAUACCGCGUGGGUGAAGAAGGCCUUCGGGUUGUAAAGCCCUUUUGUUGGGAAAGAAAAGCAGCAGGUUAAUACCCCGCUGUUCUGGCGGUACCCAAAGAAUAAGCACCGGCUAACUUCGUG
rnacentral:rRNA from 1 species